AUUAACAAUAUCUCUUUCUCUUCCUUCUAGAUGGAUUGAAUCUUCUGUGUUGAAUGCCUCCAGGUUUUUCUGUUGGAUUUCCCAUCUGGAGAAACAAUUGUGCUUUGAGCCACUGUGGCAGACUGAAUUGUGGAUCCUAAGGCUUCAGAUCUUGGGAAGACAUUAACCUGACACACACUAACCUGACAUCACAGCCACAAUGGUGCUCUCACAGAGGCAACGAGAUGAACUAAAUCGAGCAAUAGCAGAUUACCUUCGCUCUAAUGGCUAUGAAGAGGCAUAUUCGGUUUUU